AACGAACGCUGGCGGCAUGCCUAACACAUGCAAGUCGAACGAGACCUUCGGGUCUAGUGGCGCACGGGUGCGUAACGCGUGGGAACCUGCCCUUAGGUUCGGAAUAACUCCCCGAAAGGGGGGCUAAUACCGGAUAAUGUCGUCGGACCAAAGAUUUAUCGCCUUUGGAUGGGCCCGCGUUGUAUUAGCUAGUUGGUAGGGUAAAAGCCUACCAAGGCGACGAUCCAUAGCUGGUCUGAGAGGAUGAUCAGCCACACUGGGACUGAGACACGGCCCAGACUCCUACGGGAGGCAGCAGUGGGGAAUAUUGGACAAUGGGCGAAAGCCUGAUCCAGCAAUGCCGCGUGAGUGAUGAAGGCCUUAGGGUUGUAAAGCUCUUUUACCCGGGAUGAUAAUGACAGUACCGGGAGAAUAAGCUCCGGCUAACUCCGUG
rnacentral:rRNA from 1 species